UACGUAGGGGGCAAGCGUUGUCCGGAAUCAUUGGGCGUAAAGCGAGCGUAGGCGGCCCGAUAAGUCUGCUGUAAAAGUCAACGGCUCAACCGUUGAAAGCCGGUGGAUACUGUCGGGCUAGAGUUCGGAAGAGGCAAGUGGAAUUCCUGGUGUAGCGGUGGAAUGCGCAGAUAUCAGGAGGAACACCAAUUGCGAAGGCAGCUCGCUGGGACGUUACUGACGCUGAGACGCGAAAGCGUGGGGAGCAAACAGG
rnacentral:rRNA from 1 species